CUGGAGUAUUAUAUAUUACAUUGGUAAUAUGGAUUAAUUAAUAAUAAGCAGAAUGUUACUGCUCUAACUGAAAAAAUCCUGAAGACAUGGACCGCUAUGCCUAUUGUGAGAGUUGUCUAACAACAGCACGAGAGAUUGAGAAAGCCAUGAAGGAAGCCCCAGAUGAGAGCAGACAGACAGUAGUUGAGAACCUCAUCACUGGGGGUGUAUGUGAGAAACUGCUGUCCUACAAACAUGACCACGACUCUAAGGACAAAACAGCCUCCUGUAUGCACUUGUUAGAGUCUCAUUAUGACCAGCUCCAUGUAGCUUUGGUGAAUAAAGAACCAAAGCAUCUGGAUAUAGUCCUGUGUUAUGAGCAGUCCAGGGCAUGUAUAGGGGUGAAACGCCAGUCUUCUGAGAGUUCCAAAACCCCCUUUACAGAAAGUGACAUUGAAGCUCUACUUCGAGACAACAAGGAGCAUGUGCGCAUUGCUCAACCUGUACAUUCGGGUUCACCUGUGCACUCAAAAGAUGAGUUGUGAAAACAGCAAUGUGAAUGUGUGAUGGCUUGUUGUACUGUGUUUUUGAG
rnacentral:lncRNA from 1 species